rfam:Xanthomonas oryzae pv. oryzae KACC10331, complete genome.
CUUUAUGGCGGGCGGUACGUGGGGGGCUUCGGCCCCGCCGGUCCCUGAGUCCGGUAGACCAACCCGUGCCGUCCGCCACCCCG